CCUAUUAUAAUAAUUUAAAUUAAUAGAAUAAGAAAUUAAAUGUUUAAUCAUUAAAUUUAAAAGAUUUGGCGGUAUUUUAUAUUAUUAGAGGAACCUGUAUAAUGAUUGAUAAUCCACGAUAAGAAAAACUUAAUUUAAAAUUUAUGUAUUGCUGUUUAAAGAUUAUUAUAAAUUAAAUUUUCAUAUAAUUAAAUUAUAAUUUAAUUCAAGUCAAAAUAUAGUUUAAUUAAGAUUAAUAUGGGUUACUAUAUUUUAAAAAUUUAUUGGAUGAAUAUAAUUUAAUUUUAUUUUGAAAUUGGAUUUAAUAGUAAAUUUAAUAAAUUAAUUAUUUUGAAAAAUUAAUAAAAUAAGUACAAAU
rnacentral:rRNA from 1 species